UCGGGUGUUUACAGAACAAUAAGAAAGUAGUCUCAUAUGCAAAAAGGCUUCGCCAGUCACAGCCCCCCAAGGGGUGUGGGUUCUGAGAGGCGGAACCAGCCGCCCAGGCCCUCUCUCCAUUGGUCGGGUUCAGCAGGUAACCCGAAGCUUUGCCGAGAGGUGCAUAAAUAAAGAGUGAAACUAGUACCACCUCCUCGAAAGGGGCUGAGUCCUUCUUCACCCUUCCUUGGAAAAACCAGUUUCUCUCUCUUUUAUUGUCUAUUAGCAACUUCUAUUCUGAAAGUGCAGCUGAACCCCACCAUACUCCAAACUCUCUCUUCUAGCUACCUUUGCUCCUCUCUACUCCAAUUCUACUUUCCUCUGCUUUCAGAUUCUUUUUACCCAAGGGAGAAUGACUAUUCAGGACAGGCCCCCACCUUCCCUCGGGAAUCUGUUCUGCACAGGCCUGCUGAAAUGGACACUUCAUGCAAUUUCAGUGGAGUGAAGUUCAGGAGGCGUGGAGCUGACACCGCAGCGGCAGCAGCAGCAAGAGUAGCUCUGACUUAGAAAAAGAAACACCCGGUGAGAUUCAUGAUAGAUGAAGGAGACAUCUGGAACGCAGAGCCUUCUGCAGAGGGGAUGGCGAUGGGCAGGUUGGAAAAAGCACCACAGAUGGGAACCGCUUGUUUUUCUUUUCUAAAAUUGAUGCGAGGGAAAUGUGUGUUUUCUGUAACUUAUAAAAAUUAAAAGUCGUCUGUCUGCUGGAAAACCUGCCUCUGUGAUUCAUGCUGUUGGAUGCCAACUCUCUGGCCUUCUAAGUCACCUCCCCUUUGGGCUAAAACAGAGACAGGAGCUUGAGCAAUGACACAGGCCCCCUCUGUCCUUGGGGUCUCCAGGCAGGUGGUUGCAACUCUGUCUGCAAUCAGCAAGGACCCCUGCAGCCCUCAGCGCCCCCACAGGGCCAGCAGGACCUCCAGAAUGGGGUAAAAAAACUCCAUUAAGAUUUUUAAAAACCUAUUUAUAUAGUAAUAAAAUAAAUGUAAAUAAGAUUUAAGUAAAGGCA
rnacentral:lncRNA from 1 species